rnacentral:rRNA from 1 species
GACGGACGCUGGCGGCGUGCCUAACACAUGCAAGUCGAACGGAAGUAAGAGCUUCGGUUUUGCUUUAGUGACGAACGGGUGAGUAACGCGUGAGGAACCUGCCUUUCAGUGGGGGACAACAGUUGGAAACGACUGCUAAUACCGCAUAAUGUUUCCGGUCCGCAUGGACUGGAAACCAAAGCUUUAUGUGCUGAAAGAUGGCCUCGCGUCUGAUUAGCUAGUUGGUGGAGUAACCGGCCCACCAAGGCGACGAUCAGUAGCCGGUCUGAGAGGAUGAACGGCCACAUUGGGACUGAGAUACGGCCCAG